AUUGAACGCUGGCGGCAUGCCCUACACACGCAAGUCGAACGGCAGCACGGGGGCAACCCUGGUGGCGAGUGGCGAACGGGUGAGUAAUACAUCGGAACGUACCGUGAAGUGGGGGAUAACGUAGCGAGAGUUACGCUAAUACCGCAUAUUCUGUGAGCAGGAAAGAGGGGGAUCGCAAGACCUCUUGCUUUACGAGCGGCCGAUGUCGGAUUAGCUAGUUGGCGAGGUAAAGGCUCACCAAGGCGACGAUCCGUAGCGGGUCUGAGAGGAUGCUCCGCCACACUGGGACUGAGACACGGCCCAGACCCCUACGGGAGGCAGCAGGUGGGAAUUUUGGACAAUGGGCGCAAGCCUGAUCCAUCCAUGCCGAGUGAGUGAAGAAGGCCUUCGGGUUGUAAAGCUCUUUCGGAGGGGAAGAAAUUGCUUAGGUUAAUACCUUAAGUAGAUGACGGUACCCGCAUAAGAAGCACCGGCUAACUACGUGCCAGCAGCCGCCGUAACAC
rnacentral:rRNA from 1 species